rnacentral:rRNA from 1 species
GAUGAACGCUAGCGGCAGGCUUAAUACAUGCAAGUCGAACGGUGAUAGCAAUAUCAUAGUGGCGCACGGGUGCGUAACACGUAUGCAACCUACCUAUUAUUGGGGGAUAGCCUUUGGAAACGGAGAUUAAUACCGCAUAAUACGAUUGACUGGCAUCGGUUGAUUGUUAAAGCUUCGGCGAUAAUAGAUGGGCAUGCGUCCAAUUAGUUAGUUGGUGAGGUAAUGGCUCACCAAGACGAUGAUUGGUAGGGGAUCUGAGAGGAUAAUCCCCCACACUGGCACUGAGAUACGGGCCAGACUCCUACGGGAGGCAGCAGUAGGGAAUAUUGGGCAAUGGAGGGAACUCUGACCCAGCCAUGCCGCGUGCAGGAAGAAGGCGUUAUGCGUUGUAAACUGCUUUUUUAUAGGAAGAAGGAUCUCUUGCGAGAGAAGGUGACGGUACUAUAAGAAUAAGCACCGGCUAACUCCGUGCCAGCAGCCGCCGUAAAAC